rnacentral:rRNA from 1 species
UCGAGAAUCUUUCGCAAUGGGCGAAAGCCUGACGAAGCGACGCCGUGUGAGUGAAGAAGGCCUUCGGGUUGUAAAACUCUUUCGCUUGGGAACAAGAAAGGGUAGUGAAUAACUAUCCAAUUUGAGGGUACCAGGUAAAGAAGCACCGGCUAACUACGUGCCAGCAGCUGCGGUAAUACGUAGGGUGCAAGCAUUAAUCGGAUUUAUUGGGCGUAAAGGGCGCGUAGGCGGGUUUAUAAGUCAGGUGUGAAAUUCCGAGACUCAAUUUCGGAGCUGCAUCUGAAACUAUAGAUCUAGAGGUUCGGCGGAGAAAAUGGAAUUCCACAUGUAGCGGUGAAAUGCGUGGAUAUGUGGAGGAACACCGGUGGCGAAAGCGGUUUUCUAGCUGACACCUGACGCUGAUGCGCGAGAGCAAGGGGAGCAAACAGGAUUAGAUACCCCCGUAGUCC